GUGAUAAAACUAAUUAGACCCAUUUCUGAGAAAUUUAACCAAUUUUGAUCUCAACUCGGAUGGAAUACGAACAGGGCGAUAAUUUUUGUCCAGCCAAACUGCUGUGGCUUUUGCUUCCAAAAUAGGCUCUUCAUUUGGCAGUUUGAAGAUGAAGUGAUCAAAGUAUAAGCGAGCAGCAGAGGAGCCAGAGAUCCUCACCCUGACGACAAACCUGUCUCCACUUCUUAGAGGAGCAAGGAAUUUGAGUGACAACUCUGACAGUGCCAAUGCAUCACCAGUGCGAGCAACAGCAUCAGCACUGACACCAAUCCUCUCCAAAAGUUCAUGACGACCAUGUUGAC
rnacentral:misc_RNA from 1 species